GAUGAACGCUAGCGGCAGGCUUAAUACAUGCAAGUCGAGCGCUCGUAGCAAUACGAGAGCGGCAGACGGGAGAGUAACACGUGGGGAACGUACCCUUUGGUUCGGAACAACACAGGGAAACUUGUGCUAAUACCGAAUAAGCCCUUACGGGGAAAGAUUUAUCGCCGAAGGAUCGGCCCGCGUCUGAUUAGCUAGUUGGUGGGGU
rnacentral:rRNA from 1 species